UCCAGAUAUUAUCUGAUCUCUCGAUGUGUUGCUGACUUUACAAAAGAUCAAGAUCGACGGUAGUAUGACCCGAUCCGAUGCCUCAGCUAAUACCCCACCCGUCCCCAAUCGCAAUGCUCGCCUCCCCCGUUUCGCAUUCCGAUGGAAGCUGAAGGGAAGAGAGAAAAGACGAGAGCGCGGUCGCCCGAACGAUCCGCCGAGUUGCAGACUUCGUCGGGAAGCCUAUCUUUCUCGUAUUCUCCAUACGGAAAGAAAGGCUGAACCGAAGCCGCUCUGCCUGCAGAUUCCAUACGGAUUCGGCCGAUGCCGGCCGCAAUUCCAAAACGCCGGUGUCUUGGAUCGUCCAAUAACAUUGCGCCGACAGUCGAUGGCAGGCGAAGGGGCGGGGAUCGGUGGGGGUUUCGGUCCGAUCCCCGCUUUCGAUGAUGCCCAAUGUCACACACAAUGCUGUUUCCAAUUCUUCCGAUGCCUCGCCCGAUUACAGUGAAGACCACUCAGUACAGCGGGGAAUUUCCACAGAGAGAUGAUCAACCUGAUUGCCAGUUCUUCCUGAAAGCACGAACAUGCAAAGUGGAGCAACAUGUAAAUAUCAUCAUCCGUUAGACAAACAAGAUGCAUGAGUGGUUUGGUUGGAUGCUUUUGGUCUACCUAUACAAAUAAUUUCUGUCACUUGUUCCCACUCUCAUAUGGUUCAUUUGUUUGUUUCCAGGAUGAGAAAUCAUGUGCCUACUACAUGAGAACUGGAUCUUGUAAAUAUAGAGUUGCCUGCAAGUUCAAUCAUCUCCGGCAUGCCACAGAACUGACUUCCCUGUUGCAGGAUCCUCAGCCAAUUUAUAUUCUGGUCUUAGGACACCAGCAUCAGGGCUAUCAGUAAUUGAAGUUUCACCAUGGUGUUCACCAAUAAUUCUUUACAUGUUCAGUGAACAUAUGCAAGAUCUCCCAGCUUGCUUAUCUUUGGUUCUUCCAACCACCCAAGGAUAGAUGCCCGUGCAGCAGGGUGGGACA